rnacentral:rRNA from 1 species
UACAGAGGGUGCGAGCGUUAAUCGGAGUUACUGGGCGUAAAGGGCGCGUAGGCGGUUAUAUGAGUGUGAUGUGAAAGCCCUGGGCUUAACCUAGGAAGCGCAUCGCAAACGAUAUAACUGGAGUACAGGAGAGGGUGGCGGAAUUUCCGGUGUAGCGGUGAAAUGCGUAGAGAUCGGAAGGAACGUCGAUGGCGAAGGCAGCCACCUGGCCUGAUACUGACGCUGAGGCGCGAAAGCGUGGGGAGCGAACAGGAUUAG